AACGAACGCUGGCGGCAUGCCUAACACAUGCAAGUCGAACGAGACCUUCGGGUCUAGUGGCGCACGGGUGCGUAACGCGUGGGAACCUGCCCUUAGGUUCGGAAUAACUCCCCGAAAGGGGUGCUAAUACCGGAUAAUGUCUUCGGACCAAAGAUUUAUCGCCUUUGGAUGGGCCCGCGUUGGAUUAGCUAGUUGGUAGGGUAAAAGCCUAUCAAGGCGACGAUCCAUAGCUGGUCUGAGAGGAUGAUCAGCCACACUGGGACUGAGACACGGCCCAGACUCCUACGGGAGGCAGCAGUGGGGAAUAUUGGACAAUGGGCGAAAGCCUGAUCCAGCAAUGCCGCGUGAGUGAUGAAGGUCGGAGGGUUGUAAAGCUCUUUUACCCGGGAUGAUAAUGACAGUACCGGGAGAAUAAGCUCCGGCUAACUCCGUG
rnacentral:rRNA from 1 species